UAGGGAAUCUUCCACAAUGGACGAAAGUCUGAUGGAGCAACGCCGCGUGAGUGAAGAAGGGUUUCGGCUCGUAAAGCUCUGUUGUUAAAGAAGAACGUGGGUAAGAGUAACUGUUUACCCAGUGACGGUAUUUAACCAGAAAGCCACGGCUAACUGCGUGCCAG
rnacentral:rRNA from 1 species